GAUGAACGCUAGCUACAGGCUUAACACAUGCAAGUCGAGGGGUAACGAGAGGAAAGCUUGCUUUCCUUGUCGACGACCGGCGCACGGGUGAGUAACGCGUAUCCAACCUGCCCCCAACUAGGGAAUAACCUUGCGAAAGUAAGACUAAUACCCUAUAAUUUCCUCAGAUGUCAUCUGACGAGGAAUAAAGAUUUAUCGGUUGUGGAUGGGGAUGCGUCUGAUUAGCUCGUUGGCGGGGUGACGGCCCACCAAGGCAACGAUCAGUAGGGGUUCUGAGAGAAAGGUCCCCCACAUUGGAACUGAGACACGGUCCAAACUCCUACGGGAGGCAGCAGUGAGGAAUAUUGGUCAAUGGGCGGAAGCCUGAACCAGCCAAGUAGCGUGCAGGAUGACGGCCCUAUGGGUUGUAAACUGCUUUUAUACAGGAAUAAAGUUAGCCACGUGUGGUUAUUUGUAGGUACUGUAUGAAUAAGGACCGGCUAAUUCCGUGCCAGCCGCCGCAGUAA
rnacentral:rRNA from 1 species